GGGGGGACAGGGUGACAGGUGGUGCAUGGUUGUCGUCAGCUCGUGUCGUGAGAUGUUGGGUUAAGUCCCGCAACGAGCGCAACCCUCGACCUUAGUUGCCAGCAUUCAGUUGGGCACUCUAAGGUGACUGCCGGCUAAAAGUCGGAGGAAGGUGGGGAUGACGUCAAAUCAUCAUGCCCCUUAUGACCUGGGCUACACACGUGCUACAAUGGGCGGUACAAAGGGUCGCGAACCCGCGAGGGGGAGCCAAUCCCAAAAAGCCGCUCUCAGUUCGGAUUGCAGGCUGCAACUCGCCUGCAUGAAGCCGGAAUCGCUAGUAAUCGCGGAUCAGCAUGCCGCGGUCGAAUACGUUCCCGGGCCUU
rnacentral:rRNA from 1 species